rnacentral:rRNA from 1 species
ACAAGCGGUGGAGCAUGUGGUUUAAUUCGAUGAUACGCGAGGAACCUUACCUGGGCUCGAACGUAAGAUGACUGUAGGUGAAAGCUUACAUCUCUUCGGAGCAUUUUACGAGGUGCUGCAUGGUUGUCGUCAGCUCGUGCCGUGAGGUGUCGGGUUAAGUCCCAUAACGAGCGCAACCCCUACCUUUAGUUGCCAUCAGGUAAUGCUGGGGACUCUAAAGGAACUGCCUACGCAAGUAGUGAGGAAGGCGGGGAUGACGUCAAAUCAGCACGGCCCUUACGUCCAGGGCUACACACGUGCUACAAUGGCCGAUACAGAGGGCAGCUACCUGGUGACAGGAUGCAAAUCUCCAAAGUCGGUCUCAGUUCGGAUCGGAGUCUGCAACCCGACUCCGUGAAGUUGGAUUCGCUAGUAAUCGCGCAUCAGCCAUGGCGCGGUGAAUACGUUCCCGGGCCUU